ACACAUGCAAGUCGAACGAGAAUCUACUGAAAGAGUUUUCGGACAAUGGAAGUAGAGGAAAGUGGCGGACGGGUGAGUAACGCGUGAGGAACCUGCCUUGAAGAGGGGGACAACAGUUGGAAACGACUGCUAAUACCGCAUGAAGCAUAGGGGUCGCAUGAUUCUUAUGCCAAAGAUUUAUCGCUUCAAGAUGGCCUCGCGUCUGAUUAGCUAGUUGGCGGGGUAACGGCCCACCAAGGCGACGAUCAGUAGCCGGACUGAGAGGUUGAACGGCCACAUUGGGACUGAGAUACGGCCCAGACUCCUACGGGAGGCAGCAGUGGGGAAUAUUGGGCAAUGGGCGCAAGCCUGACCCAGCAACGCCGCGUGAAGGAAGAAGGCUUUCGGGUUGUAAACUUCUUUUAAGAGGGAAGCGCAGAAGACGGUACCUCUAGAAUAAGCCACGGCUAACUACGUGCCAGCAGCCGCGGUAAUACGUAGAUGGCAAGCGUUGUCCGGAUUUACUGGGUGUAAAGGGCGUGCAGCCGGGUCUGCAAGUCAGAUGUGAAAUCCAUGGGCUCAACCCAUGAACUGCAUUUGAAACUGUAGAUCUUGAGUGUCGGAGGGGCAAUCGGAAUUCCUAGUGUAGCGGUGAAAUGCGUAGAUAUUAGGAGGAACACCAGUGGCGAAGGCGGAUUGCUGGACGAUAACUGACGGUGAGGCGCGAAAGUGUGGGGAGCAAACAGGAUUAGAUACCCUGGUAGUCCACACUGUAAACGAUGAAUACUAGGUGUGCGGGGACUGACCCCCUGCGUGCCGCAGUAAACACAAUAAGUAUUCCACCUGGGGAGUACGAUCGCAAGGUUGAAACUCAAAGGAAUUGACGG
rnacentral:rRNA from 1 species